rnacentral:rRNA from 1 species
AUACGGAGGAUCCGAGCGUUAUCCGGAUUUAUUGGGUUUAAAGGGAGCGUAGGCGGACUAUUAAGUCAGCUGUGAAAGUUUGCGGCUCAACCGUAAAAUUGCAGUUGAUACUGUGUGUCUUGAGUACAGUAGAGGUGGGCGGAAUUCGUGGUGUAGCGGUGAAAUGCUUAGAUAUCACGAAGAACUCCGAUUGCGAAGGCAGCUCACUGGACUGUUACUGACACUGAGGCUCGAAAGUGUGGGUAUCAAACAGGAUUAGAUACCCUGGUAGUCCACACAGUAAACGAUGAAUACUCGCUGUUUGCGAUAUACAGCAAGCGGCCAAGCGAAAGCAUUAAGUAUUCCACCUGGGGAGUACGCCGGCAACGGUGAAACUCAAAUGAAUUGACGGGG